AACGAAUGCUGGCGGCAUGCCUAACACAUGCAAGUCGAACGAAGUCUUCGGACUUAGUGGCGCACGGGUGCGUAACGCGUGGGAAUCUGCCCUUGGGUGCGGAAUAACUUCUCGAAAGGGAUGCUAAUACCGCAUAAUGUCGUAAGACCAAAGAUUUAUCGCCCAAGGAUGAGCCCGCGUAAGAUUAGCUAGUUGGUGGGGUAAAAGCCUACCAAGGCGACGAUCUUUAGCUGGUCUGAGAGGAUGAUCAGCCACACUGGGACUGAGACACGGCCCAGACUCCUACGGGAGGCAGCAGUGGGGAAUAUUGGACAAUGGGCGAAAGCCUGAUCCAGCAAUGCCGCGUGAGUGAUGAAGGCCUUAGGUUGUAAAGCUCUUUACCCGGGAUGAUAAUGACAGUACCGGGAGAAUAAGCCCCGGCUAACUCCGUGCCAGCAGCCGCGGUAAU
rnacentral:rRNA from 1 species